CUCGAAACAAACUCCAACUUUGUUUCUUGUAAACAUAGAAGGUCACCCUCCAUCCCUUUAAUAGAUUACGAACACUUAACCCUUUUCCAGCUUCAUUAAGCGCCCUCACAUUCCAUUAAUUAUUUUCGGAGUCAUCUUAACGCUCCAUCAUCCCUCCCCACCAAGUCUCUCCUUGACUCGCCACCCUUGAAGUUAUACUUAAACGAACAUUCAAGCCGCUUAAGCUCACGAUCACCCUUUCUUCUUAUCUCCUAGCGUACCCAUCCCACGUACCCUACUAGCCUCCAGAUCCUCGAAUAAUCGCAAGAGCCUAUUUUCGUACUCAUCAUAGGAUACACCUACCAUCUUGCUGAAAUCCAAAAUUUUUUGAAGAACAUAUUUGACGGUGUAGGUCUAAAAUUAAGUGCACUAACUUUCGCUAUCUCCUCAGCAUAAAUAGGAUCAUAAUAGUGUCCCUCCUCUUCCUCCACCUACAAUUCACUAUUUGUAUCCUCAUUCUCGACGCCACCCACCCACACCACCAACGCAUUAUCAUUCCCUAGAUCUCCUCCUUCCGGAGACUUAGAACAACUCCUAUAGUAAGUGCUCACUACCAUAGUUGCAGAGCUUGUCAUCGCUUAUUCCUCAAUUGCCG
rnacentral:lncRNA from 1 species